GAAGAGAAAGAAGAAAAAGAAGAGAGAGAGGGAAAGAAAGAGGGAGAAGUGAGAGAGGUCUCUCUUCCCCCUGGAAUGUUUUCUCCCUCUUCUUCUCCUUCUGAGAGGAAUUCUUCUCCUUCUCUCUCUUCU
rnacentral:ribozyme from 13 species